rnacentral:tRNA from 1 species
UCCCUGGUAGUCCAAUGGCAAAGACUCCACUCUCCCAAUGUAGGGGGCCCGGGUUCCAUCCCUGGUCAGGGAA